CGCGCAGGUGGGUUUGCAAGUCAGGGGUGAAAUCCUACAGCUUAACUGUAGAACUGCCUUUGAUACUGCAAAUCUUGAGUACGGAAGAGAGAGGCGGAAUUUCAGGUGUAGUGGUGAAAUACGUAGAUAUCUGGAAGAACACCAGAGGCGAAGGCGGUCUCUUGGUCCGUUACUGACGCUGAGGCGCGAAAGCGUGGGGAGCGAACAGGAUUAGAUACCCUGGUAGUCC
rnacentral:rRNA from 1 species